UACAGAGGGUGCGAGCGUUGUCCGGAAUCACUGGGCGUAAAGGGCGCGUAGGCGGUCUUGUAAGUCGGGGGGUGAAAUGCUGCGGCUCAACCGCAGCGCUGCCUUCGAGACUGCAAGACUGGAGCACGGUAGAGGCGGAUGGAAUUCCCGGUGUAGCGGUGGAAUGCGUAGAGAUGUGGAGGAACACCAAUGGCGAAGGCAGCCUUCUGGGCCAACACUGACGCUCAUGCACGAAAGCGUGGGGAGCAAACAGG
rnacentral:rRNA from 1 species